CCUACGGGGUGCAGCAGUGGGGAAUAUUGGACAAUGGGCGAAAGCCUGAUCCAGCCAUGCCGCGUGUGUGAAGAAGGCCUUCGGGUUGUAAAGCACUUUCAGUGGGGAAGAAAGCCUUGGGGCUAAUACCCUCGAGGAAGGACAUCACCCACAGAAGAAGCACCGGCUAACUCCGUGCCAGCAGCCGCGGUAAUACGGAGGGUGCGAGCGUUAAUCGGAAUUACUGGGCGUAAAGCGCGCGUAGGCGGUCUGAUAAGCCGGUUGUGAAAGCCCCGGGCUCAACCUGGGAACGGCAUCCGGAACUGUCAGGCUAGAGUGCAGGAGAGGAAGGUAGAAUUCCCGGUGUAGCGGUGAAAUGCGUAGAGAUCGGGAGGAAUACCAGUUGCGAAGGCGGCCUUCUGGACUGACACUGACGCUGAGGUGCGAAAGCGUGGGUAGCAAACAGGAUUAGAUACCCCAGUAGUC
rnacentral:rRNA from 1 species